AUUUAUUUAGUAUUUAAAGUACAAUUGAUUUCCAAUCAAAAAGUUUAAAUAAUUAGAAWAAAUA
rnacentral:tRNA from 1 species